GGUGGCCUAGUGGUUAGAGCGUCCGCCUCGGAUGCGGGAGGUCGUUGGUUCGAGCCAUACCAAAGACU